UACGGGGGGGGCAAGCGUUGUUCGGAAUUACUGGGCGUAAAGGGUUUGUAGGUGGCUUGUUAAGUCAGACGUGAAAUCCCUCAGCUUAACUGGGGAACUGCGUCUGAUACUGGCGAGCUUGAGUGCAGGAGAGGAACGCGGAAUUCCAGGUGUAGCGGUGAAAUGCGUAGAUAUCUGGAGGAGCACCGGUGGCGAAGGCGGCGUUCUGGACUGCAACUGACACUGAGAAACGAAAGCCAGGGUAGCAAACGGG
rnacentral:rRNA from 1 species